GACAGAGGGGGCAAGCGUUGCUCGGAAUUACUGGGCGUAAAGGGCGCGUAGGCGGGAUGGCAAGUCGGUCGUGAAAUCCCUCGGCUCAACCGAGGAACGUCGAUCGAUACUGCUGUUCUUGAGGAUUGCAGAGGAGACUGGAAUUCCCGGUGUAGCGGUGAAAUGCGUAGAUAUCUGGAGGAACACCGGUGGCGAAGGCGGCAUCCUGGACCGGCAUUGACGCUGAGGCGCGAAAGCUAGGGGAGCAAACGGG
rnacentral:rRNA from 1 species